rnacentral:rRNA from 1 species
GGAUAACCUGCCCUUGGGACCGGCAUAACCCCGGGAAACUGGGGAUAAUUCCGGAUAACGCAUAUGUGCUGGAAUGCUUUAUGCGUAAAAUGGAUUCGUCUGCCCAAGGAUGGGUCUGCGGCCUAUCAGGUAGUAGUGGGUGUAAUGUACCUACUAGCCAGCGACGGGUACGGGUUGUGAGAGCAAGAGCCCGGAGAUGGAUUCUGAGACAUGAAUCCAGGCCCUACGGGGCGCAGCAGGCGCGAAAACUUUACAAUGCGGGAAACCGUGAUAAGGGGACACCGAGUGCCAGCAUCAUAUGCUGGCUGUCCAGGUGUGUAAAAUACACCUGUUAGCAAGGGCCGGGCAAGACCGGUGCCAGCCGCCGCGGUAACACCGGCGGCCCGAGUGGUGGCCACUAUUAUUGGGUCUAAAGGGUCCGUAGCCGGUUUGGUCAGUCUUCCGGGAAAUCUGACGGCUUAACCGUUAGGCUUCCGGGGGAUACUGCCAGACUUGGGACCGGGAGAGGUAAGAGGUACUACGGGGGUAGGAGUGAAAUCUUGUAAUCCCUGUGGGACCACCAGUGGCGAAGGCGUCUUGCUAGAACGGAUCCGACGGUGAGGGACGAAGCCC